CGGGCCGGCGUAUGCUGGUAGUACACCUGCUUUGGGAGCAGGCAGACCCAGUUCGAUUCUGGGCGGCCCGA
rnacentral:tRNA from 1 species